rnacentral:lncRNA from 1 species
UAUUCCAACUUUUCUGCAAACUUGUCUUGUAACCUUCUCCUAGGCUUCUACAUCCCUUCUGCUGUUUCGAGUUGGUCAGACCUCUGGGUUGCCCAGUCAGACCUGGGGAAGAGUUCACACUGCAGACCCGUCAGCCUGCCUAGGACUAUCUCAAGCCAGGAGAACAGAAUUGGACUCAGCAAGAAUGAGAUCUUGGUUGAGUGGAGAGAGAGGAUAAGAGGUGCCCUGAGCUUACUCGAGGACUGCGACAGGAACCACUGGAAUACUGAAGACAUCAUAAGCAACCUGCCAUGAUGGGUGUAGAUAACUGAACACUGAUCUCCACAAGCAGAAAGAGCAGGGCAAGGAACUCAUGAAGAGCAGCAGAUGAGCUGGUUUCUGUGUUUGCCCAAACAAUAUCCUGUUUUGACACCACUCACCAUAAUUUGAAACAAAUAGGCAAAUGAAAAUGAAGAAAUUAGCUGUUAUCCUGUGCGUAUGAUCAAUGGGAACUACUGAAAUGGGUUUUGGAGAAUGUAAAUCUCUCUUUCCUUGAAUAGGAUGGUUUCUGUCUCAAUUAGCUAGACAAAAAGUCACUUUCUCUGUUUUAUUUUGCCUUUGUGACAACCUAGCAUUUGCUAUAUUUAAUAAAUAAAUUAGUGUGUAUAUAUAUAUAUUUA